GACGAACGCUGGCGGCGUGCUUAACACAUGCCAGUCGAACGGAAAGGCACUGCUUUUGUGGGGUGCUCGAGUGGCGAACGGGUGAGUAACACGUGAGUAACCUGCCCUUGACUUUGGGAUAACUUCAGGAAACUGGGGCUAAUACCGGAUAGGAGCUCCUGCUGCAUGGUGGGGGUUGGAAAGUUUCGGCGGUUGGGGAUGGACUCGCGGCUUAUCAGCUUGUUGGUGGGGUAGUGGCUUACCAAGGCUUUGACGGGUAGCCGGCCUGAGAGGGUGACCGGCCACAUUGGGACUGAGGUACGGCCCAGACGCCUGCGGGAGUCAGCAGUGGGGAUUAUUGCACAAUGGGCGGAAGCCUGAUGCAGCAACGCCGCGUGCGGGAUAACGGCCUUCGGGUUGUAAACCGCUUUCGCCUGUGACGAAGCGUGAGUGACGGUAAUGGGUAAAGAAGCACCGGCUAACUACGUG
rnacentral:rRNA from 1 species